CAAGGUAUGUAGUUAGAAACCUUAGUGCUUCCUGAUAACUGAAACCACUUCCCCACAUGCUCUUUGUUUGCAAAAAUCGUGUCUGUCUCCUGCGCAGCUGCAAGGACUUACAUGUCUACUCCACCCUGACUUCUCCUUUGACCUAACUUCAAGCAACAGUAGGAAAAAAAUCAGUGGGACAUUGAAAACUCGUGGAUAGAGUGAUGGAAACCAGCCUAUCUCCCUUGAAGAAAUGCAGUUUCAGAGACAUUCAGUACCAGAAGAAGCCUAGUCUGGUCUGACCUUUUACAGAGUGUGGGCCAGAGCAUUUCAGCCAAUGAUUCCUGAUUUACAGCCUCUUUGUAUCUCACACCCGUUACCCCUGCUGCACAGGUGAUGAAGCAGACUUAUAACAGCUCUCUCAUUCCACCACCCGAAGGAAAAACAACUCCUUUACAGAAAGUUCUGCAUCUCUGGAGGCCCAAAACUGAAACCUGACUGAUGAGGUUUUUGCAAAACCACCCCCAACCCCAGCACCUGACCCAGGUCCCAGAGCAACGCUGAGGACUGCUGCAACCCAGGCUCGGUAGCAACAGCACACCGCAAGCGAAGCUGAAGGCCGAGGGACUGUGGAUCUCAGCAGCCCGCCGUGGGUC
rnacentral:lncRNA from 1 species